CAGAGGGGGCAAGCGUUGUCCGGACUGACUGGGCGUAAAGCGCACGCAGGCGGUUGUGGGCGUCGGUGCUGAAAGUCCACUGCUUAACAGUGGGAUGCGUGCCGAUACGCCAUAACUGGAGCGAUGCAGAGGCCAGUGGAAUUGCCGGUGUAGUGGUGAAAUGCGUAGAGAUCGGCAGGAACACCCAAGGGGAAGCCAGCUGGCUGGGCAUUUGCUGACGCUCAUGUGCGACAGCGUGGGGAGCGAACUGGAUUAGAUACCCAGGUAGUCCACGCCGUAAACGAUGGAUGCUCGGUGUCUGGUGGGUAAUCAGUCCCGCUGGGCGCCUCAGCUAACGCGCAAGCAUCCCGCCUGGGAACUACGAGCGCAAGCUUA
rnacentral:rRNA from 1 species